CACUAACAAAAGCCAUGCUUUUAUCAAUUUUGUUUUCAUCUAUUAUUAUAAUCAUUAUUGUAUUGUAAUUGUUAUUAUCGUGUUAUUAUUGAAAAACUUAAAAUUUUUCUUAAAUAGCUCAAAAGUAAUUACCAAUUUGUUGAUAUUUUUUUCUGACUCCCCUUUGGUUGGCUCAAGGAUUGAAUGUUUUAUUGCUUCUUGUCUUCUUGCGCUUUGCUUUUUGGCUUUUUUUGGAUCAAUUGGCUUCAACACUUAUUUCUACUGGAUCCAGUCGAGGCUCAUUGCACCAAAUGACCAUCAACAGCUGAUUUUACCCGUUCAAUUUCAAUCCAUUUCAAGAUUAUUUUUGCCCUUUCUCAUUUAUCCCGUUAAAGUGGUCAACUGAUCAUUGUAUAAAGAUUUGGUUUGCUUUAAUUGCCGUCUCUUUUUAAAAGCAACAUUAGGACUUCAACACUUUUACCAAGAUGCAUUCAUUUGAGGAGGCAAAAUGUGUAAAACCAUUUCAACUCGAUUAUGUCCAGUUAGCCAGUUUACUCAGAAGACUGCAUCUGAAAGUUGAUUGUUAAUUGAAUCCCGGACCAAGUAAUAAUAAUAAUCAACAGGAUCAAUUUUGGUAACUGGCUUAGGUUUGAUUGUUGAAGUAAAAUGUAGCAAGAAGAUUUGGAAGAGAGAGAAAAAAAUGUGUUACCAAAAAGAGUAUGUUGAUGAAUCGAUCAACGAACUGUGAAACAAGUAAAGUCAACUUGUACCUUGGCGAUCACUUUUUACCCGUUUAUGCUCAUGUUUUUCAUCCUAAUUUUACUCACUGUGUUCAGUUAAAUUAUAAUGGUGGUUAUACUGUAAUGGUAAAAAAAAGACAACAUAAACAACAACAUAAAGUCAACCUAAAGGGUUUGUGAACCUUCAUUGAGAUUAUCAAGUCAAAUAAAGUCUUAAUAAUUGUUGAAUUAACAAUCAUUAUACCGAUUAUAACAGCAAUAAUGAAAACAAAGCAAAAGUCCAAAAAAUCAUAAGCAUCAGUGAUAACAUUAUUUAAUCAUUAUAUUCAUGUUGAGAUGAUGAAAGCGUGAAUUUGGUUCCAUUUGUAACAAUUUGAUAAUAACGCAACUCUUAACCAACUCGACACGUAACAUUUGGUACCAAAGAUUGUUAAACUUAUUUCAAUAUUUUCUGGUUAAAAUUCUGGUUCUUCCAUUGACUAUUUAGGUUCACAUGAUAUCAAGAGUCCAUUGUGAAUGACAGUCAAGUAAAUGAUUGAUGAAGUCACAAUAAAGACAAUUAGUAAACCUGCAA